GCCUGGGUGGCUCAGUCGGUUAAGCGUCUGACUUCGGCUCAGGUCAUGAUCUCACGGUUUGUGAGUUCGAGCCCCGCAUCAGGCU
rnacentral:tRNA from 1 species